AGACUGGAAAAUCUCUGCAGGCAAAUGUGAUGUCGCUAAAGAAAUCACACACUUACCUGUAGAGAUUCUACAGUCU
rfam:Myotis lucifugus cont2.5059, whole genome shotgun sequence.